AGUUAUUUAGUUUAUAAAAAACAUAUAUUUUGAAAAUAUAAAAAAAGGAAUAUUGCCUUAAUAACUG
rnacentral:tRNA from 1 species